CACGUAGGGCGCAAGCGUUGUCCGGAAUUAUUGGGCGUAAAGAGCUCGUAGCGGUCUGUUGCGUCCGCUGUGAAAACUCGGGGCUUAACCCCGAGCCUGCAGUGGAUACGGGCAGACUAGAGGUAGGUAGGGGAGAAUGGAAUUCCUGGUGUAGCGGUGAAAUGCGCAGAUAUCAGGAGGAACACCGGUGGCGAAGGCGGUUCUCUGGGCCAUUACUGACGCUGAGGAGCGAAAGCGUGGGGAGCGAACAGG
rnacentral:rRNA from 1 species